rnacentral:rRNA from 1 species
AUUGAACGCUGGCGGCAGGCUUAACACAUGCAAGUCGAGCGAGCGGCGGACGGGUGAGUAAUGUCUGGGAAACUGCCUGAUGGAGGGGGAUAACUACUGGAAACGGUAGCUAAUACCGCAUACCAUCAGAUGUGCCCAGAUGGGAUUAGCUAGUAGGUGGGGUAAUGGCUCACCUAGGCGGCGAUCCCUAGCUGUUCUGAGAGAAUGACCGGCCAAACUGGAACUGAGACACGGUCCAGACUCCUACGGGAGGCAGCAGUGGGGAAUAAUGCACAAUGGGAGCAAGCCUGAUGCAGCCAUGCCGCGUGGGUGAAGAAGGCCUUCGGGUUGUAAAGCACUUUGAGCGAGGAGGCGUUACUCACAGAAGAAGCACCGGCUAACUCCGUGCCAGCAGCCGCGGUAAUUC